GCUAGCUAGCGCAAUCCGAUCUGAAAUUGGGUAGAAGAUAGUCAUGAUAGUUUAGAAGAUCAAGACUGCCAGUACCGUAGGCGUAGUUGAAUCGUAAAAAUUACGUUUUCUCGUCUAUUGAUGGAUUAGUUUGUCGUUUCUCUUGUUUACAUGUGAUACAAUUGUUAAAGAUUGGACCUAGGCCAAGGUAGCAACAGGACAGUAACCAUUUACAUGGAAUGUGGUUUGCCGUGGUAGAUGUUUGUUGUAGCUUUAAGUUCAAGUUUUGGAUUGAAGGCAGCUCUUACCUUUCAUAUUUCCCAUCAUCACUGCAUGGUUAGUAGAGUGUGGGGUUGUUUGCCAUUCACCAACUACUAAGACUGACUUCAAGAUGAGUCUUACCAGUGGACUAACCAGACCUAAGAGAAUGGCUGUUGGUAUCCUCUUACUCCUUGUAGUGGAUGUCAUCUGGGUCGUUUCAUCAGAGAUAACUCAGGUAAGCUCUAAAUAAAUCAGACAGUAUGUACAUGUAGCUGCAGUAUAAUCAGAGUGUGUUCUAUUCUUUUUACCUUUAUGCCCAAACAAACUUGUUCCCAUGUUGUACAUGUAUGUGAUUCCGCACAAUGGUUAAUUUUAAAGCAUCAGUUUAAAAAAAAUAUGUUAAAUGAUUGGCAACAAAAAUAAAUGGGGCCUACAUUUACUGUAGCUUUUUUAGACCUGCAUUGAGGUGUGAGAGUGGUUUGUCGCAAGAGUUGCUUGAGCCUGUACACACUGUCUUUUUAUAUUGAUCAAACUCAAAGGAGGUCUGGUUGAACAUGAUUCUUGGCAGUUCUUAUAUGUUAUCAAUUUUAAGUUUUGCUGCUGAAACCGUGCCCUUAUCCAGUAGAGUUCUAGGACCUGGGCCCGUAUUCCAUAAACAAGAUAAGCUUUUUGCUUAAGUCUUAGCAAUUUGUCUUAGCAUUUUGCUUGUCUAAGAAAUCUUCCCUAAGGAUAUUCUAUAAACUUUAAGACAUUUGUCUCAAGUCAGACGAUAUGGCUAAGCCAAAGUCUCAAAGUCAAAUUCUAUGACCUUCUAAACUGCUGCAGGGGUGACUGCAACAAAAUAGCAAAAAUGUCAUUGAAGUUGUUUUUUCUUAACAAGUUUGAUUUUAUUGAAACUAAUUACAACUAUUGUAGUAGAAGAAGAGCAUUCAUCACCCAUAUAUGGUAAGAAUUUUUUAUUCAGAUUAUCUAUAUAUUUUUAAUUACCAAAACAUUUCAAUCCCAAACCGAGUGACUUGCACAGUUUUUUAUGUAUCAGUCCCAUUCAUUACUUUUCAUGUAUUGUUUGUCAAAAUCUAAAUGGAAUAGAUUCCUCUCGACAUCUUUAUUCUACUUCACUGAAGUAGAUCUAGGGUCUAAGGGAAAACAUUUGUAACUUUUGAGACUAGUCUUGGGUCUAACAUUAGGCCUAGAUCUAGCCUAGGCCCAAGAUCUACAACUAAUAUCCGUCUGUUUGGAGGAGAAUUGAACAUUGUUUUUACUUUUUACUUUCCUGAAGGCUGAAGCAAAACGUAACUUUGUUAGUCCAGUGCCGUAGUGGAGCAACUGAGACUGAAGCUACGUAGGCCUAGAUCUAACGAUAGACCUAUAUUAGUAUUGGUCUAGGCCUAGAACAUGCAGGACUUAGCCUGGCUUAGCCUUAAGACAGGGAUAGAUCUAUCUAGAUCUACAUGUAGGUCUAGAAUAGAUCUGACUUAGACCAAAAGCUUCAGUCUCCGACUGUAUUUUGGUUGUUCCGCUAUAUUACGAGUACGACACUAAACUGUAAACAAUCUAACGUUACGUUGGCCUAGUCUCACCAAUGUGAUAUGACAGUAAAUGUCAGAAACUUUUAAAUAAAUCCCCAGAAACGACGGUUAUUCCUGUCAACAGUGCUAGAUCUAUCGCUACGCAUUGCUUGCCAACUAUGCCUAAAGUUAGAUCUAGUCCUAGUAGUAGUCUAGACAUCUGAUCUAUCUUGCCCCGGGGACCUCGACACGACGUCUUUAGACACAGUACGUGUUCAGGCUGCCGCAGUAAGACAUCUAUCUAGAUCUACUCUUGCUUUUUUUAGGUCCAUCUGUUUGUUUGGAGUUUUUAUUUUAUACAUUUUGAGGACUUGUUUAGAUCUAGGUUUCCAGGACUAGAAAACAGGCCUAAACCUAGACCAACACUGGCAACAGCUCAGUCUAGACUAGGCCUAGGGCCUAGAUUUAUAUAAGAAUUUAGAUCUAGGGCCUAGGCGGCCUAGCCUGUGCUUUCUUCUAUUCAUUCUAGAUUCUAUUUCUAGCCUAUCCGGUAGCCCUAACGUUAGGACUGGCUGAUCUAGUCUACUGUUUGAUCUAGAAAUCUCUAACCUAGGCCUAGAUCUAGACUAAAUGACUUACUCACUUAGACUAAAAUUAGACCCUAUCUAGAUCUAGAACUAUACAAAUCUAGGUGUACAUAGGGUCAUAGUAAUAGGUCUAGAUCUAGAGACUUGUAGACUCUAUCUCAAUGUAGAUUCUAGAUCUAAAAAUAGUAAAUGUAGGCUAGAUCUAGUCUAGUUCUACUCAUUUAACGUUAGGCCUGAGAAAGGAAGUAGGCUAGGGAUCUAGCAUUGGAUUAUUUCUAGGACUAAAGGAUCUUGAUCUAGGCUUAGAUCUAAACUAGGGGCUGUAGUUCGAAAUCUUGAGGUCUAGCCCCCCCCCCCCCCAAAAAAAAAAAAAAAAAAAAAAAAACUAGAACUAAGCCCUCAGCUACAUGUAGUUCUCUAUGACUAUGUAGCCAAACAAAAGUUAGCAUUGACCAUUGUCUUAAUCUUUUUUUGGCGUAUACAUGUAGUUAUCAUACAAACACAUAUUUUGAUGAAUGAGAAAAUGUGUCUUGCAGAUUAUUUUAGCUCAAAACCUACAUUUCAUGGACAUAUAGGCCAAUGUCAUAAAAUGAAGAAGUAGUUCAAUACACAUCAUGCUGUUUACACAUUUAUUGAUCUGAUAUGCUGUUAUUAUGGCAACACAUUUUCCAAUAUAUGUCUUGCAGAUCUACACCUCAAAAUCAAUUUGUGAGCCAACUUUUAUAAGAAUUGGUAAAACUGAUAAAGGGAUUCAAACCACAAGAUUUUCACCUAAUUUCUUUAUAUAAUAUGUUGUUACCUUGGCAACACGAUUUCUGAUACAGACAAAAAUAGUCUUGCACAUCUUCAACUCAAGACUAUUGUGUGUGCCAAAUUUCAUGAGCAUUGGUUGAAAAAAGAUGAAGGAGUUCGAACUACAAGAUUUUCACCUUAUUUUCGUUAUAUAAUAUGUUACCAUAGCAACCCGAAUCUGAUACAGGCAAAAGUAUAUCUUAGACAUCUUCAACUCAAGACUAUUGUGUGCGCCAACAUUUUAGGAGAAUUGACCAGUUGAAAACUGAUAAAGUAAUUCAAAUCACAAGAUUUUCAUCUAAUUUUUGUUAUUUUAUUUGUUGCCAUGGCAACGCAAUUUUUUAUAAAGGCAUAAAAUAUACUUUGCACAUCUUCAAAUCAAGACUAACGUUUGUGCCACAUUUCAUGAGAAUUGAUUAAAAACUGAAGAAGUCGUUGGAACUGCAAGAUUUUUACAUAAUUUUUGCCCUAAUAUACCGUUAC